GUCUACAGCUAUACCGCUCUGAAUGUGCCUGAUCUUGUCUAUCUCGGAAGCUAAGCACGGUCGGGCCUGGUUAGUACUUUGAAGGAAGCUAUCCUUGACUCUUUGCAUGUCAACA
ensembl:rRNA 5S_rRNA 5S ribosomal RNA